rnacentral:rRNA from 1 species
UACGUAGGGGGCAAGCGUUGUCCGGAUUCAUUGGGCGUAAAGAGCGUGUAGGCGGCCAGGUAGGUCGGUUGUGAAAACUGGAGGCUCAACCUUCAGAGGUCGACCGAAACCAUCUGGCUAGAGUCCGGGAGAGGGUAGUGGAAUUCCCGGUGUAGUGGUGAAAUGCGUAGAUAUCGGGAGGAACACCAGUGGCGAAGGCGACUACCUGGCCUGUUCUUGACGCUGAGGCGCGAAAGCUAGGGGAGCAAACGGG